rnacentral:rRNA from 1 species
UACGGAGGGUGCGAGCGUUAAUCGGCAUUACUGGGCGUAAAGCGCACGUAGGUGGUUGGGUAAGUCGGAUGUGAAAGCCCUGGGCUUAACCUGGGAACUGCAUUCGAUACUGCCCGGCUAGAGUAUGGGAGAGGGAAGCGGAAUUUCCGGUGUAGCGGUGAAAUGCGUAGAUAUCGGAAGGAACAUCAAUGGCGAAGGCAGCUUCCUGGCCCAAUACUGACGCUCAGGUGCGAAAGCGUGGGGAUCAAACAGG